AUCAGAUGCACAAAUGGACAAUGAAUGGCUAAUAUGGAGACUGAAGAUAACUCAAGAUAAUUUGACCCCGGAUCGGCAAAUUUAAACUUCUCAUCAAUUCUUUGAGGGGACUGUGGCUGUAACAGAGAAAUCCCAGCUGCCCUUCCUCUUCCUGCUCUGCAGCGAGGUCACAGAAGGCCCUCACUGAAGCCUGCAAUGUUCUCUUGAAAUCCUGCGCCUGUAAUUCUCCCGGUCCCAGACAUGCCGUUACGGAAAGAAUGAGCAGUGGGGAGUCUUUCCCAUGAGGCUCCCACAGUGUUCAAGUUCUCACGUCAGCAUCCCAGCGCCUCCGGGGUGCAGGCUCACUGCUGGUCUUCAGGGCCUUCAGGACGUUCGACUCCCAUGGCCACACGCUCCCUCUCCCAUUUGUUCCCUGUCACUCCAGGACAGAAAAAUUAUGAAACUCGGUUAAAUACAACUGUUGACACUUAGGAACAAUGACAGGCACAUUCUCCAGGGUCAAUGGAUUUCAGAACUUGACCCUGAUGACACCCUGUCACCAUUCUCUCCAUUUUUUAGACAAGGACAUUAAUGCACAGAUUAAGCCACCCCUCCGCUAUCAGAGCCACACUACACCCUGGAAGAAGGAAAUAAACUCACCCCAGAUCCCACAUGCAGAGCUAGUCAUUGGCACGUCUGUGCACGUGUACCCCUCUGGCUCUUCUCUUUGUAUUUUAAAUAUAGAAAUAUAUUCCAAAAAUUGUUGUGCCA